rnacentral:rRNA from 1 species
GACGAACGCUGGCGGCGUGCUUAACACAUGCAAGUCGAACGAAGUGGCGAACGGGUGAGUAACGCGUAAUCAACUGCCCUUCAGCGGGGGAUAACAGUUGGAAACGAUAGCUAAUACCGCAUACUACCAGAUGGACCUGCGUUGUAUUAGCUAGUUGGUGGGGUAACGGCUCACCAAGGCACCGAUACAUAGCCGACCUGAGAGGGUGGUCGGCCAACCUGGGACUGGGACACGGCCCAGACUCCUACGGGAGGCAGCAGGAGGGAAUCUUCGGCAAUUGACGGAAGUCUGACCGGGCAACGCCGCGUGAAUGAAGAAGGUUUUCGGAUCGUAAAGCUCUGUUGUAAGAGAAGCGGUAUCUUACCAGAAAGGGACGGCUAACUACGUGCCAGCAGCCGCGGUAAUUC